ACAGCUCAAAUUUGAAAUCUGGCCCCUUCGGGGUCCGAGUUGUAAUUUGUAGAGAGUGCUUCGGGUGAGACCACGGUCUAAGUCUAUUGGAACAUUACGUCAUAGAGGGUGAGAACCCCGUAUGUGACCGUGGCUCGAGCCCAUGUGAAGCCUCUUCGACGAGUCGAGUUGUUUGGGAAUGCAGCUCAAAAUGGGUGGUAAAUUUCAUCUAAAGCUAAAUACUGGCUGGAGACCGAUAGCGCACAAGUAGAGUGAUCGAAAGAUGAAAAGCACUUUGGAAAGAGAGUCAAACAGUACGUGAAAUUGUUGAAAGGGAAGCGCUGGCAACCAGACCUGUCCGUAGACGAUCAGCCGCUGUUCUCAGUGGUGCACUCGUUCUGCGAUCAGGCCAGCAUCGGUUUCGGCGGUCGGAUAAAGGCCUGGGGAACGUAGCUCCCUUUCGGGGGAGUGUUAUAGCCCCGGGCGCAAUGCGGCCAGCCGGGACCGAGGACCGCGCUUCGGCUAGGAUGCUGGCGUAAUGGUUGUCAGCG
rnacentral:rRNA from 1 species